AUGCUUGCCAGGUUCUUGAGGUUGAAUCCUCAGAGGUUCUCCAGUUCCCUUGAACCUAUUGUGGCUGAUGACUGGCUCCGUGCAGUCAAUAGGAACCUGGAGACGGUUGGAUGCCCUGAUGCAGAGAGGGUGAGGUUUGCCUCACAUUUGUUGGAAGGUCCUGCUGCAGCUUGGUGGGACAACUACUUGGUCACUUAUCCCAUUGCUACUAUCACACGGCCUCAGUUUCAGGAUGCCUUCCGUGCUGCACAUGUGUCUGUUGGUGCUAUGAGUCUGAAAAAGAACGAGUUUCGCAGUUUGCGCCAGGGAGGUCGCACAGUUAAUGCGUUGCAUGUUAUGCUCCUAAUGAUGUUAACACUGAUGCAGCUAGGCAAGAGAAAUUCUUGGAGGGCCUUAAUGAUGAGUUGA
rnacentral:rRNA from 1 species